GCGGGGGUGGCGGAAUGGCAGACGCGCUAGGCUCAGGACCUAGUGGGGUAACACCCGUAGGGGUUCAAGUCCCCUCCUCCGCACCA
rnacentral:tRNA from 1 species